AUAUGCCUACGGGAGGCAGCAGUGGGGAAUAUUGCACAAUGGGGGGAACCCUGAUGCAGCGACGCCGCGUGAGUGAAGAAGUAUUUCGGUAUGUAAAGCUCUGUCAGCAGGGAAGAAGAAAGACGGUACCUGACCAAGAAGCCCCGGCUAACUACGUGCCAGCAGCCGCGGUAAUACGUAGGGGGCAAGCGUUAUCCGGCUUUACUGGGUGUAAAGGGAGCGUAGACGGC
rnacentral:rRNA from 1 species